GCCUUGCUGCUUCCCAUAACAGUUACAAGCACUGGCUCUGCCAUCGGAGAUGAAAGGGUACACGCGGGGUUCUCCGACCUUCCAGCCGUGUGACCUCGGACUGGGGAGCAGAGACCUCUGUUUGCUUAGCUCCCUCCACUUGCCUUCCUUGAAUGUGGGAACCCCGGACUCUGUCUUGGAAAAGACCUGGCCUCUCCUUCUCUGGGUUGGGUCCAUCCGUGGGCUCCCGCAGAGGCCUGUGGUUGCAGAGACUGGAAGCUGCAGCUUCAGGAGGGUAAGUGACUGUGCCCGGGAGCCGCACUGAGCAGCAGCGGGCUCCGCAGGGCCUCCAGGCUCCCCAGGGCAUCAGUGGGUGCUGCCACCUCCCCCUUCUCUGUGAGCUGGCACUGUGAGGCUGAGGGGUACAGGCUGGGGCAGGAAUCUCGGUUCUUCCCAGCUCUGUGAGAACUGGGAGAUGCUCGAGAACUAUCCCAUCCCCGGAUCUCAGUUCCCCCAUUGUAACGGGGCAGCUGGACUCAGGGAUGUCCAGUCCCCAUGCUGGAUCCCACCCUCAUCUCCCUGUGUGAGACGGGCGUGGUGUCCUGUGCCCCAUCCCCAUCCCUGGGCCUGAAUUCCCAGCUGCUGUACUGGUGCCCGGGUCCCUGGGUCCCUCCCACCCUGAGCCGCCUCCAGACCAAGCUGUUGUCUCGGAUCCAAGCAGCCAGGCUGGCUGGGCCUGGAGCGGGACGGGAGGACUGCGGGAUUGGUGAGCCAGGAGGGGAACAGAGCACCUGCUUCUCUGUGACUGCCUCUUGGAGCACUAAUCAUGGAGUUGUCCCAGAGCAGGGCUCCUCACUGAGCCCUUCAAUAUCGGAUCUGUCAUGGAAGAAAAAUGUUGCGUUUUGUGUCUGAGACCUUUCCUUGAUCCUAUCUUGCAAAAGAGAAAGAAAGAAAAAAGAAACAACAAAGGCUGCCGGGAGAGUGAGAGAUUUGGGAGGAGCAUUUCUGAGGGAACCGUGAGUGUCGGGAAGGGUGGGCCUGGGGUCACGGAGCGCUUUCUGGAAAGCCGUGGCGAAGCAUCACCCGGUACCAGCCGCCUCGCUAGCUCUUGCCAUAGCAGCACCGUGAACAAGUGUCCUGCCAUUUAGUGGCUCAAAACAACAAGGUGCUGUGGUUUCUCCCGAGCCUCGGGUGGGUCUAAUCCACCUGCGGGGCUUGCUGGCAAGUCUGUGGUUAGCAAUGGGCUGGCCGGGAGGCUCUGCUGGUCUGGCCUGGGCCUUCUCACAUGCCUGGGACAGUGGGGCUGGGUGGGCUCGCUCCCCUGCGGGCUUCUCAUGGCAGGGGCUGGGUCUGGGGAGGCAGGGGGUAGAAGCUCAUGCCGUGCCUUGAGGCCCAGGCUCGGGGUCAUCUCUUCUGCCGUAUUCUGUAGGCCAAAGCCAGUUCUGGGCCAGUCCUGCUUCCAGAGAUGGAAAGUGGGCUUGGCAGCAGAGCGGCUUUAAAUGGUGCAAAGGAUGGAAUGUUUGUGUCCCCCAAACUCACACAUUGAAAUCCUAGCCCCGAAGGUGAUGGUAUGAGGCGGUGGGGCCUAUGGGAGGGGAGGGGGGCGUGAGAAUGUUGUCCUCAUGAAUGGUACUGCGCCCUGAUAAAAGGGACCCCAGGGAGGUGCCUGGUCCCGUGUGAGGACUGAGUGAGAAGGUGGGGUUGAAACCUGGAAAUGUCCCUCCCCAGACACUGCCGGUGCCCUGAUCUCAGCCUCCAGCCUCCGGAAUGGCAAGAAAUAGAUCUCUGUUGUUUGUAGGUCAUGCAGUCUGUGGAGCUUGGGUGUAGUAGCCCAAACGGACUGAGACAAUGACAAUGGGAGAGGAAAAUAAAUCUCAGGACCCCAAAUCACUAAGCUAGAGGGAAAAGGCAAGCUGGGAACUGCGUGAGGCAAACCUGUCUCCGAUUUAUUCCUAAAUAGGACAGCUACGAAGAUAAAAAAGCUACACAGCUCCCUCACCACUUGCCCACAGGGUAUUCCCUGUGGACCUCAAGAUCUUUACUAUGAAGCAGUUCUGUUGAAUUUCACCAAUGUAAACUGAUAGCUUAUCUUCACAGGCAUGGGACAGAAAGUCAUCCCUCCGCUCACCUGAGACAAAUACUUAUCUGAUUGCUUUCUGAUAUGAUUUGGCUCUGUGUCCCCACCCAAAUCUCAUCUUGAAUUAUAAUCCCCACGUGAUGAAAGAGGGGCCUGGAGGGAGAUGACUGGGGCAUGGGAAAGAUUUCUCCCUUGCUGUUCUCAUGAUAGUGAGUGAGUUCUCACGAGAGCUGAUGGUUUUCGAGUGUGGCACUUCCCCUGUUCCCCGCCUCCUGCCACCAUGUAAGAUGUGCCUGCCUCCACUUCCACCAUGAUGAUUCACUGAGCUACACUAAGGACUCAGGGAAAGGCUAAUCAGAGACUCAGAAGAAUGCAACUGCUUGUCUCUUAUCUACCUGCGACCUGGAAGCCUCUUACUUCGAGUUGCUCUGCCUGACUGGACUGAACCAAUCAUUUUACAUAUAUUGACUGAUGUCUUACGUAUCCCUAAAAUGUAUAAAACCCAGCUGUGUCCUGAACACCUUGGGCACAUGUUAUCAGGACCUCCUGAGGCUGUGUCACAGUUGUGUCCUUAAUCUUGGCAAAAUAAACUUUCUAAAUUGACUGAGGUCUGUCUCAGAUCCUUCAGGGUCACAGCAAUCAGGGAGAGUUGUCUUCCCCAAGCCCCGAGAGACUGCAGCAGGCCGAGGCUGGGGACUGUCAGGAGCAAGAGGAGCCAAGGUGUGGAUGGAGUGAAAGGCCCACAGGGGGACCUGUCUACGCGAUGGAUGUACCCGAGGGCUCCCCUAUCCUGCCUGUAAUUACACGAAUGUGGGGGGGACGGUGGGGACAUGAGUCCACUGCACACUUACCCACCCUGGACCAAUGCAUAGUAGGUGCUUCACACACACUUGCUGAAGGUUCAGCCCAGCCUCAUGUCCCCCAGAAAGCCCUCCCUGGUCAUUCACCCUGGAUCAACACAUAGUAGGUGCUUCACACGCACUUGUUGAAGGUUCAGCCCAGCCUCAUGUUCCCCAGAAAGCCCUCCCUGGUCAUUCAGU